UACGAAGGGGGCUAGCGUUGCUCGGAAUGACUGGGCGUAAAGGGCGCGUAGGCGGAUGGCACAGUCAGAUGUGAAAUUCCCGGGCUUAACCUGGGGGCUGCAUUUGAUACGUGUGAUCUAGAGUGAGGAAGAGGGUCGUGGAAUUCCCAGUGUAGAGGUGAAAUUCGUAGAUAUUGGGAAGAACACCGGUGGCGAAGGCGGCGACCUGGUCCGACACUGACGCUGAGGCGCGAAAGCGUGGGGAGCAAACAGG
rnacentral:rRNA from 1 species